UAAAUAUUACUUAAGAGAAUCUCAAGCUGCUAAGGAUCUCCUCUAUCGAAGAUCUAGGUCACUAGUGGAUUAUGAAAAUGCAAAUAAAGCACUGGAUAAAGCAAGAGCAAAAAAUAAAGAUGUCCUGCAGGCUGAAACAUCCCAACAGUUAUGUUGUCAGAAAUUUGAAAAAAUAUCUGAAUCUGCAAAACAAGAACUUAUAGAUUUUAAGACAAGAAGAGUUGCCGCGUUCAGAAAAAACUUAGUGGAACUGGCAGAGUUAGAACUGAAGCAUGCAAAGGGUAACCUACAGUUGCUGCAGAACUGCUUGGCAGUGUUAAACGGAGACACAUAAGCCGCACUCCACCUUCGGCUAAAAAGGGCUGCCUUCCUUCAGAUUUUAUUUUUGUUUUCUGAAUGAUAUUAAAGCAUUUACUGCUCACCGGGAAGAAAAGAAACAGCCGACAAAGUGCAUCUACUCUCCUUUUUUCUGAGAAACAAUGGAGCGGAGCCGUCCAUGGGUUCUGCCGAUCUGUGGGGGGACACUGCCCCCCUGUACCCGAAUGCUCCCUGGGACAGCCGUGGGUCACCUCGCGCUCCUCCUCUUCCAAAGCCCAGAGUUCAGUCUUUUCCUUAAGUAGCCUCCGUAGCUGUGUUUAUUUUAUGCGUAGUAUUCCUUACGGCUGCCAGCCUCGUUUACGUUUAAGUACUUUCUGAAGUUUAACCCUUUUGAAGAUACAUUGUUCAAACAAGGGCAAGAUUGCCGGCCGUCACCUUCUUUUGAAUUUUGUUCUCAAAAGACAUUGUGUACCACCUUAGUUCAUCCAUGUAUCCUGGUAAAGCAUCGUAAUCAGACUUGUUUUUAAUUGAUGAACAUUUCUUAGAAGUUUUGGGACAGACUUUAUGUAAUCUUUAUAAGUAUGAUUUCUGAUGAAGAGCAAAUGCAUUAGUAUGUUUGCCUUAAACUUGUAGACUAAACCAACUAUUAUCAAAUAAAAAGUGAUAACAGUGA